UGGGGAAUAUUGCACAAUGGGCGCAAGCCUGAUGCAGCCAUGCCGCGUGUGUGAAGAAGGCCUUCGGGUUGUAAAGCACUUUCAGCGAGGAGGAAGGUGGUGAGCUUAAUACGCUCAUCAAUUGACGUUACUCGCAGAAGAAGCACCGGCUAACUCCGUGCCAGCAGCCGCGGUAAUACGGAGGGUGCAAGCGUUAAUCGGAAUUACUGGGCGUAAAGCGCACGCAGGCGGUUUGUUAAGUCAGAUGUGAAAAUCCCCGGGCUCAACCUGGGAACUGCAUUUGAAACUGGCAAGCUAGAGUCUCGUAGAGGGGGGUAGAAAUUCCAGGUGUAGCGGUGAAAUGCGUAGAGAUCUGGAGGAAUACCGGUGGCGAAGGCGGCCCCCUGGACGAAGACUGACGCUCAGGUGCGAAAAGCGUGGGGAGCAAAACAGGAUUAGAUACCCUGGUAGUCCACGCUGUAAAACGAUGUCGAUUUUGGAGGUUGUGCCCUUGAGGCGUGGCUUCCGGAGCUAACGCGUUAAAUCGACCGCCUGGGGAGUACGGCCGCAAGGUUAAAACUUAAAUGAAUUGACGGGGUCAUAGCUG
rnacentral:rRNA from 1 species